AAAAAAAAAGAAUAUGUCAAAUGUAUUAGAAAAGCUUGUUCAACCUGAGUGAUGCCUUGGGAACAAUGAAAUGUACAGCAGGGAAUAUAUAUACUAACAAUACUCUGCAUAAGAACAUUUAGUAACAUUUUUCUAUCCUUCCUGAAACUAAUUAGUCUGUAUGACACUUAUUGCUUUUAUUGAACACCUCACAGUGCAUGCAAGAAGUGUGUUGCAUCUCCUGUGCAAAAGAGUUACUUCAAGAUCCCACUGCCUUUUUGGUAGUGAAACAGCUGAUCUGUUCCUUUGGAACCUGUUCAGCUCAGGUGUGGCAAAGGAAAUCAAGUUUAAGACACGUAUGUUAACUAUCUGUGAGGCAGAACCUGUGCUGAAUUUCAGCACUCUGUGAUCACAUAAUGCAGAAGACACAUCUAUUUAUUUAAAUGAGCUGUGUUUUACAGCUCCUCCUGAGAAUGUUAUGGGCUGUAAUUCAAACUCUGGCCAAAGGAGUCUUAAACUGCUGAUCUAUGGAAUUUGGAAAACAUAGCAUACUUUCAAGUAUGCUUCCAUCAGUGAUCACCACAAAUAGAGACAAGAAUGCUGAACUAGAUGAGCACUUGGUUUAAGGCAACACAGGCCUUUCACUUGUUUUCUUAUUCAUAGACUUCAUAAUCAUUCUUCGUAAUCAAUAACCAGUUUUCUAAGUGGAAGCCAGCCUGCCACCAAGGACCAGAUGCGCAUCCCACAUAUAUGUACAAACUGCUUCCUGAAGAGCCAGAUGCCAUGAAAUUGUCAGGAAAGGAUGCCCUCUCACAUGCCCCCCAGCCAGGAGGAGAUUGUUUCUGACUGUAUCAGAAAUUUGUGCUUAAGCCCAAGAUUUAACUACACAGCAUAACACAGAGUAAGAUUGUUGUUACAGUUAGUUGCUUAAGGCUUUGGAUGAAAAAGAUUUUAUAGCUCAGAUAUGCUUUUUCUUUCAGCACUUACCUUCAACAUGCGACAUGAAAAGUAACUAAAGUGAGUCACAGGAGCUGUAAGCCUGUUCAGCCAAGCAGACACAGAGCAAAAACACUUAAAGCCUUUUAGGAGUCAAGAGAUCUGCAGUUAACGCCCUUGGUGAGUAAAGAUUUGGUGCUUCUCCACGACUCCCAUGCUGGCCACAGCUGACAGGAAGGUUCCAGGAAUGUGAGUAUCUACAGAAUCCAUAAAAACAAGGCUAAACAUCAGUCAUCAGCUCCCCCACCUAUUCCUCUGGGGGGAACAAUUGCUUCUGACUGAUGAAAUUUAUUGGGCAUUGGAUAAAACCUACAAAAUCCAGACUGUGCUAUUUGGAUUUAGUCUGUUUACAGGAGCUACUUUAUCUUACUUGGUUUUUUCCACCGUUUAGACCCAUUAGAAACAACCAUUAUUGCCAAACACUGAUGCAUACAUUAAAGCAAUUCAGGAAUUCAUAGCUUAAAACACA